AUUGAACGCUGGCGGCAGGCCUAACACAUGCAAGUCGAACGAGUGGCGGACGGGUGAGUAAUGUCUGGGAAACUGCCUGAUGGAGGGGGAUAACUACUGGAAACGGUAGCUAAUACCGCAUACCAUCGGAUGUUCCCAAAUGGGAUUAGCUAGUAGGUGGGGUAAAGGCUCACCUAGGCGACGAUCCCUAGCUGGUCUGAGAGGAUGACUAGCCACACUGGAACUGGGACACGGCCUAGACUCCUACGGGAGGCAGCAGUGGGAAAUAUUGCACAAUGGGGGCAAGCUGAAUGCAGCCAUGCCGCGGGUAUGAAGAAGGCCUUCGGGUUGUAAAGUACGUUCAGCGGGGAGGCGUUACCCGCAGAAGAAGCACCGGCUAACUCCGUGCCAGCAGCCGCGGUAAUUC
rnacentral:rRNA from 1 species